rnacentral:rRNA from 1 species
UACGUAGGGGGCUAGCGUUGUCCGGAAUCAUUGGGCGUAAAGAGCGCGUAGGCGGCCAGAUAAGUCCGGUGUGAAAGUCACAGGCUCAACCUGUGAAUGCCGCUGGAAACUGUCUGGCUAGAGUCCGGGAGGGGCGAGUGGAGUUCCUGGUGUAGCGGUGAAAUGCGUAGAUAUCAGGAGGAACACCGGUGGCGAAGGCGGGUCUCUGGGCCUUACCUGACGCUGAGGAGCGAAAGUGUGGGGAGCGAACAGG